UACGUAGGGUGCAAGCGUUAAUCGGAAUUACUGGGCGUAAAGCGUGCGCAGGCGGUUAUGUAAGACAGGUGUGAAAUCCCCGGGCUUAACCUGGGGAAUUGCAUCUGUGACUGCAUAGCUAGAGUACGGUAGAGGGGGGAUGGAAUUCCGCGUGUAGCAGUGAAAUGCGUAGAUAUGCGGAGGAACACCGAUGGCGAAGGCAAUCCCCCUGGACCUGUACUGACGCUCAUGCACGAAAGCGUGGGGGAGCAAACGAGG
rnacentral:rRNA from 1 species